GAAUACCCCGCUGAACUUAAGCAUAUCAUAGGGGCGGCGAGAGAGAAA
rnacentral:rRNA from 1 species